GACGAACGCUGGCGGCGUGCUUAACACAUGCGAGUCGAACGGAAAGGCCCUGCUUUUGUGGGGUGCUCGAGUGGCGAACGGGUGAGUAACACGUGAGUUACCUGCCCUUGACUUUGGGAUAACUUCAGGAAACUGGGGCUCAUCCCGGAUAGGAGCUCCUGCUGCAUGGUGGGGGUUGGAAAGUUUCGGCGGUUGGGGAUGGACUCGCGGCUUAUCGGCUUGAUGGUGGGGUAGUGGCUUACCAAGGCUUUGACGGGUAGCCGGCCUGAGAGGGUGACCGGCCACAUUGGGACUGAGAUACGGCCCAGACUCCUACGGGAGGCAGCAGGGGGGAAUAUUGCACAAUGGGCGGAAGCCGGAUGCAGCAACGCCGCGUGCGGGAUGAAGGCCUUCGGGUUGGAAACCGCUUUCGCCUGUGACGAAGCGUGAGUGACGGUAAUGGGUAAAGAAGCACCGGCUAACUACGUG
rnacentral:rRNA from 1 species